GGUGUCUGCUUGGCCCGUUUUGGCACUAGCACAUUUUUGCUUCUGUCUGUCUGCUCUGAGCAAUCAUGUGCAGUGCCAAUAUGGGAGAAGCGAGAU
ensembl:miRNA MIR96 microRNA 96